GUGCUGGGAUUACGGGUGUGAGCACAUAUAUUAAAGCACAUAUAUUAAAACUGGAAAAAUACAGAGAAGAUUAGCAGAAGGAUGACAUGCAGAUUUGUGAAGCAUUCCAUAUAAAA
rnacentral:snRNA from 1 species